GAGCAGUCCUCACUGAUGAGGCUACGGGAAAAGUCGAAACUGAUC
rnacentral:hammerhead_ribozyme from 15 species